rnacentral:rRNA from 1 species
UGGGGAAUUUUGGACAAUGGGCGCAAGCCUGAUCCAGCCAUGCCGCGUGCGGGAAGAAGGCCUUCGGGUUGUAAACCGCUUUUGUCAGGGAAGAAAUCUUCUGAGUUAAUACCUCGGGAGGAUGACGGUACCUGAAGAAUAAGCACCGGCUAACUACGUGCCAGCAGCCGCGGUAAUACGUAGGGUGCAAGCGUUAAUCGGAAUUACUGGGCGUAAAGCGUGCGCAGGCGGUUUUGUAAGACAGAGGUGAAAUCCCCGGGCUCAACCUGGGAACUGCCUUUGUGACUGCAAGGCUUGAGUGCGGCAGAGGGGGAUGGAAUUCCGCGUGUAGCAGUGAAAUGCGUAGAUAUGCGGAGGAACACCGAUGGCGAAGGCAAUCCCCUGGGCCUGCACUGACGCUCAUGCACGAAAGCGUGGGGAGCAAACAGGAUUAGAUAGCCCUGGUAGUCCACGCCCUAAACGAUGUCAACUGGUUGUUGGGAAGGUUCCUUCUCAGUAACGUAGCUAACGCGUGAAGUUGACCGCCUGGGGAGUACGGCCGCAAGGUUGAAACUCAAAUGAAUUGACGGGG